CUCUGUUCCCCAUUCCUCCUCCGCCUCCUCUGUUGAGCAUUUUCCUAUUGUUCUUCCUCAUUGCUUACAUUAUCAUCAAACAAUUGAUCAACAAAAGGCAUCCUAAAUGAGGAGAAGGGACUUUCUCCUUUUCUAAAUCAUCUUUAAAAAUCCAAAAAAAAGUCAUGCAUUCUAUUCCACAGGUAAGCUAUAUCAACUAAGCAAUACAUUUCACAAUACAUAAUACAUGGCAUUAACAGGGCAUACAUUCUUUUUAUUUUCAUUUGCUCAACAUGCAUUACAAAACUUGAGUUAUAAUGCAUUGAAUUUCAUCAAAAUACACAAUACAUUAUAAUAACUUCAUGGUACAUAAAGAAGAAUUCUUACAAAGUCAUAAAAUGAAAACACAAAUUCAUUACAUAGCUUUGAAUGCUUAAAAAUCCAUGAAUAGAUAACUUAAUACAACACAAGUCACCAUCCAUGACAAUAUCACAUACAGUUGUGAUUUCUUAUUUGCCUCUCCUAAUUUGACAGUUUCCAACUCCAAAUUUAAGGCCUCCGUUUUCAAAAUUUUCAACUUUUCUUUCAUCUUUCUUGUUUUGUUCCUUAGAAAAUUGACUCCAUCUUCGUUCAUUGAAACAAAACCCAUUUCACUGCAACCAUUACCAUGAACUUCAUUUUGGGAACUUAUGUCCAACCAUUGAAAAAAUUCACAAUAUUUAUUAACAUCUUGUAACAGAAAAAAAACACCCAACCAAAUUGAAUCCAACAUUACAAUAAUAUACAAAUUAAUACCUAAAAUAUACUUACCGGUAAAAACGACAUCCAUAGAAACUUCUUCCCUUUGAUUUGUUCUUUGUGGAGAUACAAAUGGAUGCAGAAAGUCCACAGAAACAUUUCACCCUCUUUGGAGCAACUGACGAGGAUUUACUAUUUGAAGAUGACAUUAACAACCUUUUAGGUGUUCAAAUGGUUUGAGAAGAUGAAAACCCCUAAUUUUCCCUUUGAUUUUUUCCCCUUUAAUUUUGGCCGAAUCAAUCUCCUUAUAUGACUUCGACUCUACUGGAACCCUAGUUUGCAGCAAUCGAUCAAAGAAAGAAAUUAGUGAGCCGAAGAGUCAUAUAUAUAACAAGAAAAUCAUACAUACCUUAAAAGUAGAAUAAAAUCCCUUUGAUUGUAUUGUUAAAUUGUUAAAAUUUUUCACUUUUUACAGCAAUCGAUAAGGAUCGACAAAGAUAUGCUGACUGACAAUCGUCGUUCGUUUUGGUGUGCACUAAUCGUGAGCCUGGGUGUUCGAAUGGUUCGUCGUUCGUCUGGGUGUACAACAAUCGUUCGUCGUUCGUCUAGGUCUGAUUUUGGGCGACUUGAUCUCCAAAUGUAUGUGUUCAUCUACAAUAGUUGAAAUGAGUGAAGGUCUUGAAGGUUGUUUUUUAUUGUCGCAUAAUCCACCUGUGUUUAGCCAUGUCAUUUUUCCUUUUCUGUUUAAAAGUCAUGUAGGAAAAAACCCAAAUCAAUUUAAGAGAAGUUAGCCUGAGUUAAUAAACUAGCCCAAUUGUAAAAUUUUAAUUAGUUU
rnacentral:lncRNA from 1 species